rnacentral:misc_RNA from 1 species
GAUGAAGAACGUAGUGAAAUGCGAUAAGUAAUGUGAAUUGCAGAAUUCAGUGAAUCAUUGAAUCUUUGAACGCACAUUGCGCCCGCCAGUAUUCUGGCGGGCAUGCCUGUUCGAGCGUCAUUACAACCCUCAGGCCCCCGGGCCUGGCGUUGGGGAUCGGCGGAGCCCCCCGUGGGCACACGCCGUCCCCCAAAUACAGUGGCGGUCCCGCCGCAGCUUCCAUCGCGUAGUAGCUAACACCUCGCGACUGGAGAGCGGCGCGGCCACGCCGUAAAACACCCAACUCUUCUGAAGUUGACCUCGAAUCAGGUAGGAAUACCCGCUGAACUUAAGCAUAUCAAUAAGCGGAGGA